rnacentral:rRNA from 1 species
GACAGAGGGGGCAAGCGUUGCUCGGAAUUACUGGGCGUAAAGAGCUCGUAGGCGGUUUGUCGCGUCUGCUGUGAAAACGCGAGGCUCAACCUCGCGCCUGCAGUGGGUACGGGCAGACUAGAGUGCGGUAGGGGAGAUUGGAAUUCCUGGUGUAGCGGUGGAAUGCGCAGAUAUCAGGAGGAACACCAAUGGCGAAGGCAGAUCUCUGGGCCGUAACUGACGCUGAGGAGCGAAAGCAUGGGGAGCGAACAGG